UGUGGUUAUAAAGAGUUGGUGAAAGGAUUUAAUUAAGGAAAACUUUAAAUAUCACCCAUGUAGUUUCACACUUUUUCACUCUAGUAUUCUGUGAUUUAAAGUAUAUCAAUUUAGUGUCCUAUGAUUUCAUUUUUAUCUUUUUAUUAUCGAGUUCACUAAUUUUUUUUCAUUAAAUCAGUGACAAAAUUAAAACUAAAGGGUACUAAAGUGAAUAUUUGAUAAACCUAGGUAGGGUAUCUGAAAUUUUGUGUAUAUAAUUUAACAAAAUAUUAACAAAAAAGCUGACGAAAAGAUAAAAAUGAAACCACAGGACACUAACUUGAUACACUUUAAACCACAUGGUACUAAAGUGAGAAAAUGCGAAACC
rnacentral:lncRNA from 1 species